rnacentral:misc_RNA from 1 species
GUGGUAUUAGCAUGGGCAUUCAGAGUGUGGUGGAUGAGAACAAUGAUAAAUCAUCUAAUAUUGCUCGUGAUUCUAUGUGUUCUGCCUGUGAGAUGACAGUUGUUUGGAUGCAGAACCAGCUAAGGCAGAAUCGAACAGAAGAUUAUAUACUGAACUAUGUCAAUGAGCUCUGUGAUCGAAUUCCGAACCCAAUGGGACAAUCAGCUGUUGACUGUGGAAGUCUCUCUUCAAUGCCUACUGUUUCCUUCAC